rnacentral:tRNA from 1 species
UUGACCGGCAGGUCCUGGACAAAGGCCUCGCCUCGUCCCGGCGGCACGACGAACUGGCCGUUCGGCUUGCGCUGGUCCGACGCCAGCUUGGCCAGG